GAUGAAGAACGUAGCGAAAUGCGAUAAGUAGUGUGAAUUGUAGAAUUCAGUGAAUCAUCGAAUCUUUGAACGCACAUUGCGCCCUUUGGUAUUCCUUAGGGCAUGCCUGUUCGAGCGUCAUUUAAACCUUCAAGCUCAGCUUGGUGAUGGGCGACUGUCCUCCCCUCGCGGGGGGACUCGCCUCAAAAACAUUGGCGGCCGGUACAUUGGCUUCGAGCGCAGCAGAAACGCGGUCUCGAGCCCGGUGGAUCGGCUCCCAUAAGCCUAUUCUUUUAUUUUGACCUCGGAUCAGGUAGGGAUACCCGCUGAACUUAAGCAUAUCAAUAAGCGGAGGA
rnacentral:misc_RNA from 1 species